GCCUGUGUAGCUCAGUGGUAGAGCAACUGACUUUUAAUCUGUGGGUCCCAGGUUCGAAUCCUGGUGCAGGCA
rnacentral:tRNA from 3 species